rnacentral:rRNA from 1 species
CCUACGGGUGGCAGCAGUGAGGAAUAUUGGUCAAUGGACGAGAGUCUGAACCAGCCAAGUAGCGUGAAGGAUGACUGCCCUAUGGGUUGUAAACUUCUUUUAUAUGGGAAUAAAACGUUCCACGUGUGGGAUUUUGUAUGUACCAUAUGAAUAAGGAUCGGCUAACUCCGUGCCAGCAGCCGCGGUAAUACGGAGGAUCCGAGCGUGAUCCGGAUUUAUUGGGUUUAAAGGGAGCGUAGGUGGAUUGUUAAGUCAGUUGUGAAAGUUUGCGGCUCAACCGUAAAAUUGCAGUUGAAACUGGCAGUCUUGAGUACAGUAGAGGUGAGCGGAAUUCGUGGUGUAGCGGUGAAAUGCUUAGAUAUCACGAAGAACUCCGAUUGCGAAGGCAGUUCACUGGACUGCAACUGACACUGAGGCUCGAAAGUGUGGGUAUCAAACAGGAUUAGAUACCCGAGUAGUC